GUCGUGUCCUGAGCUGAGCUGAAGUGUCCUGUCGUGUCCUGAGCUGAAGUGUCGUCGUGUCGUGUCGUGUCCUGAGCUGAGGUGUCGUCGUGUCGUGUCCUGAGCUGAGGUGUCGUCGUGUCCUGAGCUGAGGUGUCGUCGUGUCGUGUCCUGAGCUGAGG